rnacentral:rRNA from 1 species
GAUGAACGCUGGCGGCGUGCCUAAUACAUGCAAGUCGAGCGAACAGAUGAGGAGCUUGCUCCUCUGACGUUAGCGGCGGACGGGUGAGUAACACGUGGAUAACCUACCUAUAAGACUGGGAUAACUUCGGGAAACCGGAGCUAAUACCGGAUAAUAUAUUGAACCGCAUGGUUCAAUAGUGAAAGACGGUUUUGCUGUCACUUAUAGAUGGAUCCGCGCCGCAUUAGCUAGUUGGUAAGGUAACGGCUUACCAAGGCGACGAUGCGUAGCCGACCUGAGAGGGUGAUCGGCCACACUGGAACUGAGACACGGUCCAGACUCCUACGGGAGGCAGCAGUAGGGAAUCUUCCGCAAUGGGCGAAAGCCUGACGGAGCAACGCCGCGUGAGUGAUGAAGGUCUUCGGAUCGUAAACCUCUGUUAUUAGGGAAGAACAAAUGUGUAAGUAACUAUGCACGUCUUGACGGUACCUAAUCAGAAAGCCACGGCUAACUACGUG